rnacentral:rRNA from 1 species
UGGGGAAUAUUGGGCAAUGGGCGAAAGCCUGACCCAGCAACGCCGCGUGGAGGAAGAAGGUUUUUCGGAUCGUAAACUCCUGUCCUCAGGGAAGAGAAGGAGACGGUACCUGAGGAGGAAGCCCCGGCUAACUACGUGCCAGCAGCCGCGGUAAUACGUAGGGGGCAAGCGUUGUCCGGAAUGAUUGGGCGUAAAGGGCGCGUAGGCGGCCCGGUAAGUCUGGAGUGAAAGUCCUGGCUUCAAGUUGGGAAUUGCUUUGGAUACUGUCGGGCUUGAGUGCAGGAGAGGUUAGUGGAAUUCCCAGUGUAGCGGUGAAAUGCGUAGA